AUUGCUAACCAUGAUUCAGACUAGUAGGUGGGGGCCCAGGGGUGUCUCAUUUGAUGUUUGCAGACGAUUGUAUGAUUUUUAGUAAAUCUUGCAUUUUAGAGGCUGAAUCCAUUUUGAACAUUCUUAGGCUUUAUAAGGAUGUUUCUGGACAAGAGGUCAAUCGGACCAAAUCUAGCAUUUUAUUUAGUCGCUCAAUGCCCUUGAGUGUUAGGGAUCAGAUUGCUGCUAUUUCUGGUUUCAAAGUGGUUACAAAUCAUGGGAAAUAUCUUGGUCUACCCACUGAGUUUGGUAGAACAAAAAAAGAAUCUGUUUUCCAAAAUUGUUGAGAGAGUUCAUUAGAACUGGUUGGAAGGAGAACAUUCUUUCAGAUGUUGGUAAGGAGAUCCUCCUUAAAACUGUGGCUACUUCUAUGCCUUAUUAUGCUAUUUCUAUGUUUCUUCUUCUUAAGUGUUUGUAAGGACUUAACCAAAUGUAUGCGACACUUAAGUGGAAGGACGACUCUAAUAAAGGAGUUUUUUGGGUGUCAUGGGACUACCAAUGUCGCAGUGAGAAUAGUGGUGGCUUGGGAUUCUGAGAUUUGGUUUGUUUCAAUGUAGCUAUGCUUGCUAGGCAUUGCUGCAGAAUUAUCCAUAACCUUGAGGCCCUUUGGGUUAAAGUGUUAAAAGGGAAAAUAUUUUCAUAAUUCUUCUUUUUUGGAUCUCAUUCAUAAACCUUCGGGUUCUUGGGCUUGGAAAAGUCUGUUAAAAGUAGGGAAUUAUUACUUUGGGCUUGGGAGAGGUAUUGGUGAUGAUGGCCUUGAGAUAUAUGUUUAUGUUGAUCCUUGGAUUCUUCUCUUCCGGGAGGGAAGGUUUUUAGUGUCUCAAAUGUUAAUCCCUCUUGGAAAGUGGCUGACCUUAUUUUGCAUUCUUUUCAUAAGUGGAAUGUGCCUCUCGUCAAGUCAUUAUUUUCAUAUUCGGAGGUAUCUACGAUUACCCAAAUCCCGCUGUCUAUCUUUGUGAGAAAGGACAGUUGGCUUUGGUCGGGGACCAAAUCUGGUAAGUUUUCUGUAAAAUCUACAUACUAUACUGCCCUUGAAUUUGAGUGCAAUUUUUCUAUUUCCUAUGAUCCCCUUUGGACUAAGUCGUCGAGCUAAAAAAUCAUUCCUAAAAUAAAGCUCUUCAUUUGGCAUUGUAGUGCUAACUGUUUUUUUUUUUUUUUUGGUGCAGUAGUGCUAACUAUUUAGCAGUAAAACAAUUGUUAUAUCAUAGAACACUUGCCUUGAAUGCUACAUGUUCUUUAUGUAAAGCUAAUGAGGACUCUAUUGUUCUCGCCUUGUUUCAAUGCCCAUUUGGGCAACGUGCUGAUUUGGAAACCUAGAAACAAAGCUUUAUUGAACUUCAUUGAUCGUAACCUCAUGGCUACUAUGGCUGCUUUUUAUGUCUCUGUGGAUGAAGGUCGCUUUUGGCCCUCUCAACAAGUAAUUUUGAGUGGUAUGUCUUCUCAUGGAAAUAACAAUUUGCUGGUCUCCUUGCCUACUGAUCAUGCUACUAUUUUUUCUAAUGGGGCAUGGAACAAUAUAAGGCUGGAAGUAGAGGUGUGGUGAUCCAAAGCAACAUGGGUGAUUUUAUUGGGGCUUCUCGCAAAGCAUGUUCUGGUUUUUCUGCUACAGUUUUAGAAGCAGAAGCAAUACGUGACGGGCUGCUGAUGUCUCGGUUCUUAGGUUUGAAGGCUAUUUUGUGUUUUUCUGAUUGUCUAGCUGUGGUAAAUGUCAUUUCUAGUGAAAGAAGUGGGAUAGACUGGGCAGCUAAAGUUGUAACUGAAGACAUUGUUCUUUUA